UAAUUUUCCGUGAUUUCUCUCUCGCAAACCCACAGCCAUGAAUUUUUGUUUAUAAAAAGAUCAUAAGAAGCGUGUUCUGUCAUGCUGGUGAAUGAUCGCAGCUUCUGCGCAGAUAGUGGUCCUCUUUAGACAUUUAUGGACGUGUUCGUGUUCACACAGAAUCCUCUCUGCAAAUUUAACGGAAAUGUUCUGGGACCAAAGUGCUGUGUGAAUGGGUCACAGAGUCUAAACACAUAAUGAAGACCAUGGUCCUUAUUUCUCACUUUGGUGUGGCAUUCUGUUAGCUUGUCUUUUUAGAAACUACCAGUAUGUUUGCUGACCAUGUAAGGAUAAUAAAGAAAUAUGAACUUGUAGAGGGUGUAGAUUUGGUUGGUUUACCCCUCUAAUUAACCUCUUGUGGUGAAAGUAUUCAGCAGUUAUCUGAUUAAUUAAUUCUGAGAGUUUUCCUUAUUCCAAACAAUCAAGGCUUGUUUGUUGAAGUUUGCAGUGCACCCUUGAGUGAGCACAGGCUUUGAAACACACAAUAUAAGCACCUGUGGAUCCACAAAUUGUGUGCUGAGUGUUGAUUACAUGCCACGUAAUUACUGUAUGCAGGAUGGGAGAAGAUAAUCUGCAGUUGACCUUUAAAGACAUUAUGAGCAGAAGUGAUUAUGCUCAUAAAGAACGGCGACUAACAGAUGCUGCAUACAGGAGCAGACAAACACUACAACAAAAUAAACAGCUUGGAAGGUAGGCUGAGAGCCAAAACACGGUACAGGAUGUUCUCACAUCACCCAAGACUUCAUAACAGAAAGAAGAAUAAAACGACGCAGAAUCGUGCCAGCUCAAAGUCCUGGAAAAGUGUGUUAAAUGUGCUUUCGGCGUCUCGGUUCACCUCGAGUCCAAGCACUUCACUUCUGUUUCUCUCAUUCCCUCUGACUUCUCACGGUAGACUGACAGAAGGAGACGGCCCUCUCUGUUAGCCCUUUCUAAACACCUCAGUGCACUUAAGAAAAACAAACAGUAUGCCAGAUGCAUCCAUCUCACAGAGCCUGAUACAUGGGGAUGUCCACACUAUCUCACCACAUUUUGGGAUUCUGCCUUAAUGAAGAACUUUAUGGAAAACCACACUAAAUCAAAAGGGGUUAUGUAGAUCCAGAGACUGGGGUCACGGUCAUUCAUAAUACACGUUUAAUCUGUUUUCAGAGUGCCUAACAAGCAUCUUUUAAUAAUUCCAGUUGUAAUACCAGCUGACCAGCAAGAUUUUUCCACUGCUUUUAAAUCACUGCACUUGUCAUUUAUGUUCCUGUACUAUUCCAUUUUCUAUAUAUUU